rnacentral:rRNA from 1 species
GGGAAUUUUGGACAAUGGGCGCAAGCCUGAUCCAGCCAUGCCGCGUGCAGGAUGAAGGCCCUCGGGUUGUAAACUGCUUUUGUACGGAACGAAAAGCCUCUUUCUAAUAAAGAGGGGUGAUGACGGUACCGUAAGAAUAAGCACCGGCUAACUACGUGCCAGCAGCCGCGGUAAUACGUAGGGUGCGAGCGUUAAUCGGAAUUACUGGGCGUAAAGCGUGCGCAGGCGGUCUUGCAAGACAGUGGUGAAAUCCCCGGGCUCAACCUGGGAACUGCCUUUGUGACUGCAAGGCUGGAGUGCGGCAGAGGGGGAUGGAAUUCCGCGUGUAGCAGUGAAAUGCGUAGAUAUGCGGAGGAACACCGAUGGCGAAGGCAAUCCCCUGGGCCUGCACUGACGCUCAUGCACGAAAGCGUGGGGAGCAAACA